ensembl:lncRNA
UUUUCUCUUUAUUUUAUUUUCAAAGAUUGAUUUCUGCAAGAGAAACACAUCUGUGUUGUGGAUAAGGAAACAAUGUGACCAGUGCCCCGGGGAAUGGAGGCAGAAGGGAGUGUGCAGUGGGAGAGAGGACAGAGGAGCCUGGGAAGAUCUCCCCCAAAUAAUGAGCGGAAUACAACAAAUGGCAAAUUUGCUGAACAAACCUUUAUUCAACUGCUGAACCAGACACCCUCUGGAACGUUCCGGAAAGCUUUCUAUCUUUUAUCCUAAUGUGACUGAGCAAUCAAGGUAGCCCUGUUUCAAUAGAAAUGGGUUUAUAGUUCAUACAGUUCAAUAGUUCAUCUCCCAUUAUUAUGGUGUAAAUAACCUUAUUGCGCUUUCUCAGGUCCUGCGUAUAUUGUCAGUGUAUUUCAGAUUUAUACACACCGGUCACUUUAAUAGGAACACCUGCACAUCUGCACAGGUAUUCGGUUAUCCAAUCAGCCAAUCAAUGCAUAAAAUCAUACAGAUACAGGUCAAGAGCUUCAUUUAAGUGCAAGGGAAAAGCCACGUUAUUACAAAUAAUUUCUAUAUGUUUUAUAUGCUAGGAAUUCAGUAAAAAAUAAGUCCUUAUCCUUGAGUAGGAUACCUGUGCCCAGAACGUCUUGAGAUCCUGGCAGGGACAUUUAACGGUAGUGGCGUGGGAAUAUAAAAAUGACAACGAGAAAGGUAAAUAUUGAGCUUGAC